UGUCCUUUAACUUGUCAUCGAAUUAAAAAAUCGUCCCUCAAUCGCAAAAUCAGAUAUAUGAUAUCUUAACUUAUAAAACCGUCCGCUUUACAUUCUUCGAUGGUUUUGACUCCGGUUUUAUCCAAUGUGACGGGUGAGUCAGCGUGGACACCACAUGUCAGGACGCCACGCCAUCGGGCUCUCUUUCCCCUCCUCUCCCUUCCUCCUCCUCCUCCUCUCUCUCUCUCACUCAUCUCCCUGGACAGGCCGGCCGGCGGUGGUGGCGCGACCGCGUGCCUCGCCGGGGAGACCGGCCAGCGAGUACCGGCGCCAGCUCGGCUCCGCCGUCGACAUGCCGCUCGACGCCGACGUCUUCCGCGCCCCGCCCGGCCACAAUGCGCCCCAGCAGCUUCGGAGAAAUCAAAUGGUCCCGCUUGUUCCUUUUUGUGAUCGAUGCUUGAGAUAGUAGCGUCCUGCAUCUGUUCGUGAUUCGUGACUCGUAAGCCGCACUUCGAUUACUAUAGAUUGUAAUAUACUCUCUCAUUCCAAAGGUUUAAGACCUAUUUCAUUCUUUGAUUUUUUCCAAAAGUCUAAGUUCUAUUUAUAGUUAUUAUAUUCUAAAUUAAAUUGUUGAUAGGAAUUAAGAAGUCAUUUUAGUGUUUAUUGGUUUUAUCACAUGAUGAAUAAAUUAAUUGUUUAUUGGUCUUGAUGAAAAAGAAAUAGGAAUUAAACUUUUGGAAGGAGGGAGUACUACUACUAGUACGGAGUAUUUUGCUUUUCGUUCUGUACUCGCGCUGGUCCUGCUGAGUGCUGAGUGGUGGUCAUCCAUUUGCAUAUGCUUGUGUCAUGGUGUCUCCAUGCUGAUGAAACAAGCGCCAGACCGGCGACUGCGGCGGCCACUUGGAGUGCGGCGGCAAGCCGCCGGCGACGCUGUUUUGUAGGUCUCUCAUCUUGUUACCAAAUUAAAAAUCAUCCUUUAACCCAAAAAGCAGCCGCAAGCAGGUGUGACGAGAGCAACAACUUGGGAGGCGACGGCGAGCAACGGCGGCUUGGCAAAGUUGAGGAUUUUGCUCAAAUCGAUCGAUCGGCCGGCUCGGCGAAAUGGUGCUUUCUCAUUUGUGAUUACUGAUUAUUGUAGUUGAACAUGUAGAGCUAAUUAAUUUCAUUGGUCCGGUCCUAUCAGUUGUAGACAUAGAUGAUAGAUGUAUUUAUCAUUAACAUCGAUGUAUUCAUAUUCAUUGAUUAUAUCUAAUAAAAGGAUUGACAUCUA